rnacentral:rRNA from 1 species
AGUGAACGCUGGCGGUAGGCCUAACACAUGCAAGUCGAACGGCAGCACAGGAGAGCUAGCUCUCUGGGGGGCGAGUGGCGGAAGGGUGAGGAAUACAUCGGAAUCUACCUUUUCGUGGGGGAUAACGUAGGGAAACUUACGCUAAUACCGCAUACGACCUACGGGUGAAAGCAGGGGAUCUUCGGAGCUUUCGCGAAUGAAUCAGACGAUGUCGGAUUAGCUAGUUGGCGGGGUAAAGGCCCACCAAGGCGACGGUCCGUAGCUGGUCUGAGAGGAGGAUCAGCCACACUGGAACUGAGAAACGGUCCAGACUCCUACGGGAGGAAGCAGUGGGGAAUAUUGGACAAUGGGCGCAAGCCUGAUCCAGCCAUACCGCGCGGGUGAAGAAGGCCUUCGGGUUGUAAGGCCCUUUUGUUGGGAAAGAAAUCCAGCUGGUUAAUACCCGGUUGGGAUGACGGUACCCAAAGAAUAAGCACCGGCUAACUUCGUGCCAGCCGCCGCAGUAA